CCUACGGGUGGCAGCAGUGGGGAAUAUUGCACAAUGGGCGAAAGCCUGAUGCAGCAACGCCGCGUGAGCGAUGAAGGCCUUCGGGUCGUAAAGCUCUUUCCUCAAGGAAGAUAAUGACGGUACUUGAGGAGGAAGCCCCGGCUAACUACGUGCCAGCAGCCGCGGUAAUACGUAGGGGGCUAGCGUUAUCCGGAUUUACGGGGCUGAACGGGGGCGUAGGUGGUUUCUUAAGUCAGAGGUGAAACGCUACGGAUCAACCGUAGUAAGCCUCUGAAACUGGGGAGCUUGAGUGCAGGAGAGGAGAGUGGAAUUCAUAGUGUAGCGGUGAAAUGCGUAGAUAUUAGGAGGAACACCAGUUGCGAAGGCGGCUCUCCGGACUGUAACUGACACUGAGGCACGAAAGCGUGGGGAGCAAACAGGAUUAGAUACCCCAGUAGUC
rnacentral:rRNA from 1 species